CCCUUAGAUGUUCUGGGCCGCACGCGCGCUACACUGAUGCAUUCAACGAGUUUUGUUUGUUCCUUGGCCGAGAGGCCUGGGCAAUCUUUUGAACUUGCAUCGUGAUAGGGAUAGAUUAUUGCAAUUAUUAAUCUUGAACGAGGAAUUCCUAGUAAACGCAGAUCAUCAAUCUGCAUUGAUUACGUCCCUGCCCUUUGUACACACCGCCCGUCGCACCUACCGAUUGAAUGCUCAGGUGAGCCAUUCGGACUUUCAUCAUGCUGGUUUCCAGUUUUGAUGAAGGAAAGUCUUGCGAACCUUAUCAUUUAGAGGAAGGAGAAGUCGUAACA
rnacentral:rRNA from 1 species